AUUCAACCCAUUGAGCAAACCAGCGUGAGAGGCUGCACAUCAGUAUUCAAGACGCAAAACGAGGAGCUGCGGGAAGGAGCCUGCUGCAGCAAGAAGCAGGGACAGAGAGUGCUUUCCCAGGGGCAAUCCCUGCAUGCCCUGCCCAGCCCCUGCACUCUGGGGUCACUGUAGGAGGUGACCAGGCUUGCAGUGCUGGAGCAGGGCACCUUUGAGACAGAGCAUCAGAAGGACUGCCAGCACCAGCAUUAGAGCCAUCUGAGACAGAAAUCAUCUCCGUAACCAACUCGGCCUCCUUGCACUCUGCUGCUGGGCUGUGACCAUGACACUCCGGAUCCUCAUCUUCUCAAAGAUCAAAGAUUUAUCUUGUGGCCUCAGGCUACCUGCAGGUCCUGCCAGAGCCUUCAGCUCUUGUUGAGUGCUUUUUGCUCUGCACAAUUCAGAAAGCUUCAGACUCUGUAUUUUGCACUUUUGACCUGUUUGUUUUGAUGGCUCUUUAAGUCAGAUUCUUAUUUACAGGCAAGCUUUGUUUUGCCAGCUGAGUGGCUACUUCUAACAUACACGAUGUGACCUGCAGGCUUGAGCUUUCAAAUAGAUCUUGCAUUAAGCUGCACUGGAAGUCAACAGCGAUAGAAAUUCUUGAAAUGAAGCAGUACAAGUGCAGUGGUUUCUCCAGGUCCAUGGUGCACAGCUGCCCUCAUGUUUGAUCAGCACACACCAUUCUGGUCCAAAUCCCCACAGCUGCAUAGCCAGCAGCCAUUCCUCCACUCCCUGCUCAUCGUCUCUGUCAGGCAAUUUCAAGCAGCACGUCAAAACCUUCAUGUUCUUUCUUCAAAGUGGGUGUGGAUUAACAUGAUCCUGGUAGUUAUCAUCAGAGGCUUAAAUGCCUGUUGGAAGUGCUGUACGAGUUGGUGAGCUCUCAGCCCCACGUUCUGACCAUUUCCAACGGGUGCAGGAGAAAACAUGCUGUCACAAUUCAAGGCCAUUUCUUCCUAAAAGCAAACUCUGCUUCCCUCGUAUUUUCUUCUUUAUGAUUCGAAGCUGACCUGUAAGAGGUGUCCGCAGACUGGGCAGUAAAAUUCACAGACUCUCCUGGGCUAAGAGAAGGGGAUGACAGCACCAUGAAUAUGUAGAUUAUUGGUUAUACUGGCAGUCGCUCUCCCUUUGUCAUCUUUUUGUUCUUGUUGCUUAGGGAGUGGUUGAAUACUUCCCAAUAAACUCUGCUCCAGUGGCAGGACCACUGCUGGAGGCAUUGACCUCUUUCAGAGGUACAAUGUACCUUUCAGAGGUACAGAAAGUCAGUGGCAUCGUGCAGAGAUUGACAGGGCAAAAAAAGAGGUUCUGAAGAUCAGUCUGCCAGUGUGUGUGAGUAGCAGUUCAGGCCCUCUUUAUUUGGGAUUGCUAUCGUUUCACAAAAGAAUUGUUCUUUCUCUGGGACCAGGGAAUAGUUCCCAUAAUUAGAACCUGUUGGUGUGUUUUAAGUUGUUAAAAAACUACAAUAAGAAUGGAAGGAUUAUUGCCCUUUCACCUUGUGUGGGCUUCAGCUAUGCUUGAACUUUUGAGGGCUGCAUUUUGAUCACUGACUGCUCAAAGCAAGAAAUUUGCAGGCUUGAGCUUCAGUAGAAAUGACCCCAUUCUGCAUUUCUCCCCUCACAAGCAGCAGAACAGCAGCUGCUCCAUGCCUGUAUGUGGCAUGGAGUAUGUCUAUGAGCUGCUGGCCUGUGGAUGUGCUUAUACUAAAGAACAAACAAACAAAAAACCCUCUUAAAUAUGUAAAAUUAUGUCAAGUUGAUUUUUAAAAAGGAAAAAAAGUAAUAUAUUUCACUUUUUUUUCUUCUCAUUUUCCCCUACUUGUAACAGAGGUGUCUGGCUUGUGUUUUAACAUGCCAACAUGUGGAUUGUUCCCCACUGAGAAAGACCCAUCGUUGUGUCAGAGUGAGACUUUGGUACAGCACAAAUACUGCCCUGCACCUUCCCUAAAAGAGCCCCUAUGUAUCACAAGGCCUAAUACAGCCUUAUCAGCCUGUGAAAAAGAAAUUGUGAAAUCUCUGCCCAUGACAGAAGCCAGCCUCAUUUUACAGCACAAAGCAAAUUAACUGGCCUCUAUGAUGUAGGUGGGUUUUUGUCUCUGAGUGCAUUUCAGCAAUCAUUAGAUAGGAGACAAUCCAUGCAGUAUUAUCUGUUGAGCAUCCCGUACAAUUUACAUUUCAUUUUUCAAAUCGUUUCCAGUCUCCCCCAAUUAAACCAGCAUUUUUACUGUGGUACGUGUACUGCUUAAGAGAUGAGGCUUUUUCCUAUUAGAGUCUUGUCAUUUUAUUUUGGCUUUGAAUUUUUAAACAAAUGUAAUAAAUUGUGACAGAGCACUGUGUUCAC
rnacentral:lncRNA from 7 species